rnacentral:rRNA from 1 species
AUGAACGCUGGCGGCGUGCCUAAUACAUGCAAGCCGAGCGAACAGACGAGGAGCUUGCUCCUCUGACGUUAGCGGCGGACGGGUGAGUAACACGUGGAUAACCUACCUAUAAGACUGGGAUAACUUCGGGAAACCGGAGCUAAUACCGGAUAAUAUAUUGAACCGCAUGGUUCAAUAGUGAAAGACGGUUUUGCUGUCACUUAUAGAUGGAUCCGCGCCGCAUUAGCUAGUUGGUAAGGUAACGGCUUACCAAGGCAACGAUGCGUAGCCGACCUGAGAGGGUGAUCGGCCACACUGGAACUGAGACACGGUCCAGACUCCUACGGGAGGCAGCAGUAGGGAAUCUUCCGCAAUGGGCGAAAGCCUGACGGAGCAACGCCGCGUGAGUGAUGAAGGUCUUCGGAUCGUAAAACUCUGUUAUUAGGGAAGAACAAAUGUGUAAGUAACUAUGCACGUCUUGACGGUACCUAAUCAGAAAGCCACGGCUAACUACGUG